GAACAUCUAAAAUUGUUGUUUCUCCUUUAUCUUGUAAUAAACAUCUUGUUUUAAAUUCAGAGGUUGAUUGUUUAAAAUAAAUCUGGUAGAGUAACAAAUAUCAAUGUCGUUCAUUUUAGAAUUUGAUUUCUGGUAAAUGAACAUUUAAUGUUAGGGUAUUUAGUAUUAGCUGGGUCAUGUAAACUUACUUGAAAGUUAGAAGCGUAAUUAAAGUAUACUAGGUAAUAACCUGCGCCUUUCGCGGAAUGUGAUUAUUAGUUUUGAUAUUUUUUUAAAGAGACAUUAAUUU
rnacentral:lncRNA from 1 species